GGAAAAUAAUAUAUAUGAAAUUCUGAAUGUUUAAUUUCAUUUCCCCUUUCUAGCCUUGAAUGUAGUGUAAAGAGCUUGUUCAGUAGGGCACAUUAAAGGCUACUUCAUUGCUAUGCUGGGAUCCAGAGAGAAAGCUUGGACGGGACUGAUGGAUCCAGUGUGCGGGAAGCUCUUUGGACAAACGGGAAGACUCACAGCCUCACCGGUUUCCUCUAUUCCUAGCUGUUAGGUUUAGGCUACUUGGACAAAGCAACAUAGAAAACAGCCAAGAAACUAACCCAAGUGCCAACUUUUUCCUCUCCCCUAAAUAUUAAUCCAUACCAAUCGUUCCAAUGACCUACACAUUUAUUAUCCAUCUGUAAUAGGGAAAAUGGUCACCAGUGGGAAAGUCAUACUACCACGUGG
rnacentral:lncRNA from 1 species